rnacentral:rRNA from 1 species
CCUACGGGAGGCAGCAGUGAGGAAUAUUGGUCAAUGGACGAGAGUCUGAACCAGCCAAGUAGCGUGAAGGAUGACUGCCCUAUGGGUUGUAAACUUCUUUUAUAUGGGAAUAAAAUGUUCCACGUGUGGGAUUUUGUAUGUACUAUAUGAAUAAGGAUCGGCUAACUCCGUGCCAGCAGCCGCGGUAAUACGGAGGAUCCGAGCGUUAUCCGGAUUUAUUGGGUUUAAAGGGAGCGUAGGUGGAUUGUUAAGUCAGUUGUGAAAGUUUGCGGCUCAACCGUAAAAUUGCAGUUGAAACUGGCAGUCUUGAGUACAGUAGAGGUGGGCGGAAUUCGUGGUGUAGCGGUGAAAUGCUUAGAUAUCACGAAGAACUCCGAUUGCGAAGGCAGUUCACUGAACUGCAACUGACACUGAGGCUCGAAAGUGUGGGUAUCAAACAGGAUUAGAUACCCUAGUAGUC